rnacentral:rRNA from 1 species
GUGGCGAACGGGUGAGUAACACGUGGGUAACCUGCCCAUCAGAGGGGGGAUAACUAUUGGAAACGAUAGCUAAUACCGCAUAAGAGUAGAUGUUGCAUGACAUUUGCUUAAAAGGUGCAAUUGCAUCACUACCAGAUGGACCUGCGUUGUAUUAGCUAGUUGGUGGGGUAACGGCUCACCAAGGCGACGAUACAUAGCCGACCUGAGAGGGUGAUCGGCCACACUGGGACUGAGACACGGCCCAGACUCC